rnacentral:rRNA from 1 species
GAUUUCUGGUGUGGUGCGCUUGGUCCGCCGCCGUCAGGCGUGUGUGUACCGAUGUGUGCCUACCAUCCUUUCCGGAGAGCCCGGCUGCCCUUCACUGGGUGGGUCGUGUGCCAUCCGGAUCGUUUACUUUGAAAAAAUUAGAGUGUUUAAAGCAGGCUUUUGCUAUGAAUACAUUAGCAUGGAAUAAUAAUCUAGGACUUCGGUUCUAUUUUGUUGGUUUCUAUAACUGAAGUAAUGAUUGAUAGGGAUAGUUGGGGGUGCUAGUAUUGGCCGGCCAGAGGUGAAAUUCUUGGAUUCGGUCAAGACUAACUUAUGCGAAAGCAUU